AUGGCCCUAAUGGAGAAGGAGGAGGCGGGUCUCGUGUUUGAAGAUCCAACCCCAAUGGCCCAGAAACGUCACAGAUGGGCGGCGGUGGGGAAGGUUUGCUCGCCGCGGCCUCUGAAGAUGUCUGUGCUAGAGAAAACGAUGCCGAGGGCAUGGGGAUUGCACCGAGAAGCGAAGAUCAGAGAGAUUGGCCCUAAAAUCAUAUCUGUCCAAUUCGGGAGUGAGGGUGACUGGAGACAU
rnacentral:rRNA from 1 species